rnacentral:rRNA from 1 species
UGGGGAAUUUUGGACAAUGGGCGAAAGCCUGAUCCAGCAAUGCCGCGUGUGUGAAGAAGGCCCUUCGGGUUGUAAAGCACUUUUGUCCGGAAAGAAAUCCUUGGCUCUAAUACAGUCGGGGGAUGACGGUACCGGAAGAAUAAGCACCGGCUAACUACGUGCCAGCAGCCGCGGUAAUACGUAGGGUGCAAGCGUUAAUCGGAAUUACUGGGCGUAAAGCGUGCGCAGGCGGUUUGCUAAGACCGAUNUGAAAUCCCCGGGCUCAACCUGGGAACUGCAUUGGUGACUGGCAGGCUAGAGUAUGGCAGAGGGGGGUAGAAUUCCACGUGUAGCAGUGAAAUGCGUAGAGAUGUGGAGGAAUACCGAUGGCGAAGGCAGCCCCCUGGGCCAAUACUGACGCUCAUGCACGAAAGCGUGGGGAGCAAACAGGAUUNGAUACCCUGGUAGUCACGCCCUAAAACGAUGUCAACUAGUUGUUGGGGAUUCAUUUCCUUAGUAACGUAGCUAACGCGUGAAGUUGACCGCCUGGGGAGUACGUCGCAAGAUU